UUAGAUCCCUGAGCCACCAUAUAAGAAGUCCAGCUACCCUGAGGCUGUGGACUGCGGCUGCCCUCCAGUCUUUAAGGCCAGCUGUGCGCGGGUGUCUCACUUUCUACACUCCACCCUCAGCAUCAGAUAUACUCUAUCUCAGAAGCAGAAAGCCAUCCGUGAACAAUGCCCCGGGACCAAGCCAACUCAUAACACUAGUGGGAAACAGCCUCGCCACGCUUGCACCUGCAUCCUGGUCUCCCGCUGCCUUACGGGACCCUUGCUGUUACCUGGGACUUCAGCAGAGCACAGCCUCGUCUUACAGAGAUCAUCCAGGUCUUCACAGGACUCUCCCCCAGAAUGAUGCCUCCUUUGACAAUAGCUGGAGAUGUCAGAGAUGAGAUCAUUACUCAGCACUGGAUGCAGUGGUGCGUGUCUGUGGUCCCAGCUACUCAGGAGGCAGAGACAGGAGGAUCACUUGAGCCCAGGAGGUUGAGGCUGCAGUGAACUUUAAUCUACUCCAGCCCAGAAAACCUACUUGAAUACACUUUGAAACAAGAGUCCAACAAAAUAGAACAGACUCCAAAUGUUGAAUAUAAAAACUAUUAUAGUUCAAAUCUGAACACUGGUACUUUCCCUCAUAGACUUCAACUAAAACAAAAAAAAAGUAAGAAAAGAAAGAAAGGAAGAAGGAAGGGAGGGAGGGAGAGAGGGAGGAAAGAAAAAAGAAAA